UACGGGGGGGGGCAAGCGUUGUUCGGAAUUACUGGGCGUAAAGGGCCAGUAGGCGGCCAACUAAGUCCGACGUGAAAUCCCAAGGCUUAACCUUGGAACUGCGUCGGAUACUGGAUGGCUUGAAUUCGGGAGAGGGAUGGCAGGAAUUCCAGGUGUAGCGGUGAAAUGCGUAGAUAUCUGGAGGAAUACCGGUGGCGAAGGCGG
rnacentral:rRNA from 1 species